rnacentral:lncRNA from 10 species
AGGAGACAAAAGGCAAAAGUAAGGAUGCAUUCAGACAAAUCUCUAAAAUCAAAAGGAAAUAAAACAGAGUAAGUGGGUGGCAGGCACAGCAGUAUGAGAGAUCACUGGUGCCUACACAUCCCUGUCAACACUUGGUUUCAUCAAUCUUAAAUGUAAUCAUUCUAGUGUGUGUGGAAUGGAAUCUCAUUGUGAUUUUAGUUCAAUUUCUCUAAAUACUGGUGAUAUCAAGCACUUUUUCAUUACUUAUGGGCUUUUAUAUAUCUUUGUGACAUAUAUAGCCAAGGUUUUUUUUGUCCUUUCUAAAAAAUUAUAACUUUGCUAUCGUGAAUAGUGCUACAAUAAAUAUACAAGUGCAGGUCUUUUUGAGAUAAUAAUUAUUUUUCCUGUGGGUAGACAAUUAGUAGUGGAAUUUCUGGAAUACUAAGACCUGAAACUAUAAAAAUUCUAAAAGAAAACCUAGAAAAAACUCUCCUGUACAUUGGCCUAGGCAAAGAAUUUAUGACUGAGACCUCAAAAGCAAAUGCAACAAAAAUAAAAAUGAACAAAUGGGACUUCAUUAAACAAAAAAGCUUCUGCAUAGCAAAA